rnacentral:rRNA from 1 species
AUUGAACGCUGGCGGCAGGCCUAACACAUGCAAGUCGAGCGAGUGGCGCACGUGUGAAUAAUCUGUGGGACACUGUCCGGUGGAGGGGUAAAACUAGGGGACGCGGUAUAUAAUACCGUAAAACAUCAGGUGCGCCCAGAUGGGAUUAGCUUGGAGGUGGGGUAACGGCUCACCUAGGCGACGACCCCUAGCUGGUCUGAGAGGAUGACCAGCCACCCUGGAACUGAGACACGGUCCAGACUCCUACGGGAGGCAGCAGUGGGGAAUAUUGCACAAUGGGCGCAAGCCUGAUGCAGCCAUGCCGCGUGUGUGAAGAAGGCCUUCGGGUUGUAAAGCACUUUCAGCGAGGAGGCGUUACCCGCAGAAGAAGCACCGGCUAACUCCGUGCCAGCAGCCGCGGUAAUAC